rnacentral:rRNA from 1 species
AUUGAACGCUGGCGGCAGGCCUAACACAUGCAAGUCGAGCGAGCGGCGGACGGGUGAGUAAUGUAUGGGGACUGCCCGAUAGAGGGGGAUAACUACUGGAAACGGUGGCUAAUACCGCAUACAGUCGGAUAACCCAUAUGGGAUUAGCUAGUAGGGUAGGUAAUGGCUUACCUAGGCGACGAUCCCUAGCUGGUCUGAGAGGAUGAUCAGCCAAACUGGGACUGAGAACCGGCCCAGACUCCUACGGAGGCAGCAGUGGGGAAUAUUGGACAAUGGGUGCAAGCCUGAUGCAGCCAUGCCGCGGGUAUGAAGAAGGCCCUAGGGUUUUAAAGUACUUUCAGUCGGGAGGCGUUACCGACAGAAGAAGCACCGGCUAACUCCGUGCCAGCAGCCGCGGUAAUUC